GACAGAGGUGCCAAGCGUUAGGCGGAAUCACUGGGCUUAAAGCGUGUGUAGGCGGAUCGUUAAGUGCCUUGUGAAAUCCCAUGGCUUAACCAUGGAACUGCUCGGCAUACUGGCGGUCUUGAGCCAUCUAGGGGCUACCGGAACAAAUGGUGGAGCGGUGAAAUGCGUAGAUAUCGUCAGGAACGCCAAUGGUGAAGACAGGUGACUGGGCUAGUUCUGACACUGAGGCACGAAAGCGUGGGGAGCGAACGGG
rnacentral:rRNA from 1 species